CCAGGGUUUUAGAAUGGCACCCAUUGAAAGACAACACCGGGAACAAAGUCAAUGAGUCAAUCUCCGCCGUUGGAACCCGAGGACAGCCUCCAUAAUGAAGAGCUAUCACUUGACAGAACCGCCCUCGGUCCUCGACUGACCUCGAUCAACCCAACUUGGUGAUCAAGACCCCAAAUGCCACGUGACGAGAUGAUGUGACUGAUUGCGAGCUCCUGACCAAGUGGAUGUAUGUAUUUAGAAAGACCAACUCUUCGUGCUACAUUAAGAGCAGGUGGAGAGGUAGCUUCUGUCCUGGGUGUCAGCCAAAAGAGGCAGGAUGGGGACUGGAAGACAGCACAGCUCUCAAAAAGCUAAGGGGCUUCUCAGCCCUGAUUGAAAAUUGUCAGGGUCGCUGCACUUCAGGGACUGAAGACCCAAGUCACAGGCAACCAGAUCGAACUGGUGCUUGGCUCUGUUUAAACUUAAAAUCACAACCAGUUGUGGGGGCAAGGGGAGUUGGCCUUCUUAAAUAUUUGCCAUUUUUGACAAAUUUAGUUUUAGUUCAGAA